rnacentral:rRNA from 1 species
AUUGAACGCUGGCGGCAUGCUUUACACAUGCAAGUCGAACGGUAACAGGCUGCGAUGUGGUGACGAGUGGCGGACGGGAGAGUAAUGCAACGGAACGUGUCCAGGCGGGGGGGAUGGCGACUGGCGAGAUUAGCCAGUACCGGAUACGAGCGAUGGAGGGAGGGGGGGGACGGUAAGGCGCUGCGCGAGUGGAGGGGGCGAUGUCAGAUUAGUUAGUUGGUGGGGUAAAGGCUCACCAAGCCAACGAUCUGUAGCUGGUCUGAGAGGACGACCAGCCACACUGGGACUGAGACACGGCCCAGACUCCUACGGGAGGCAGCAGUGGGGAAUUUUGGACAAUGGGCGCAAGCCUGAUCCAGCAAUGCCGCGUGCAGGAAGAAGGCCUUCGGGUUGUAAACUGCUUUUGUACGGAACGAAACGGCUCUGGUUAAUACCCGGGGCUAAUGACGGUACCGGAAGAAUAAGCACCGGCUAACUACGUG